CCUACGGGAGGCAGCAGUGAGGAAUAUUGGUCAAUGGCCGGAAGUCUGAACCAGCCAAGUCGCGUGAGGGACGACUGCCCUAUGGGUUGUAAACCUCUUUUAUAAGGGAGGAAUAAAUGCUACGUGUAGCAGGAUGCAUGUACCUUAUGAAUAAGGAUCGGCUAACUCCGUGCCAGCAGCCGCGGUAAUACGGAGGAUCCGAGCGUUAUCCGGAUUUAUUGGGUUUAAAGGGUGCGCAGGCGGAUUUAUAAGUUAGGGGUCAAAUGGUGGGGCUCAACCCCAACACAGCCUUUGAAACUGGGGAACUAGAGAGUGCGAGAGGUAGGCGGAAUGCGUGGUGUAGCGGUGAAAUGCAUAGAGAUCACGCAGAACCCCGAUUGCGAAGGCAGCAUACCGGUGCACAACUGACGCUCAGGCACGAAAGCGUGGGUAUCGAACAGGAUUAGAUACCCUUGUAGUC
rnacentral:rRNA from 1 species